AGCCAUUCCCACCCUUGUUUCAACCAUCUGAGGAGGUAGUUAGGCGCCGGAGUUAGCAUUGUGGGUGACUUCGGCCAAGGCCAAGGAGGUAAGGGCAAGGCUCCCAUGUACGGUUGACGGUGGAUGCU